UACAGAGGUCCCGAGCGUUGUUCGGAUUCAUUGGGCGUAAAGGGUGCGUAGGCGGCGGGGAAAGUCUGAUGUGAAAUCCUGGGGCUCAACCCUGGAACUGCAUUGGAUACUUCCUUGCUAGAGUACUGGAGAGGAAACUGGAAUUUACGGUGUAGCAGUGAAAUGCGUAGAGAUCGUAAGGAAGACCAGUGGCGAAGGCGAGUUUCUGGACAGUUACUGACGCUGAGCACGAAGGCCAGGGGAGCAAACGGG
rnacentral:rRNA from 1 species